rnacentral:rRNA from 1 species
AUUGAACGCUGGCGGCAGGCUUAACACAUGCAAGUCGAGCGAGCGGCGGACGGGUGAGAUAUGUGUGGGACACCCCCAUGUGGGGGGGGAAAACUAGGAGACACGGUAUAUUACACCGCAUACCCUCAGAUGUGCCGAGAUGGUAUUCGCUAGUAGGUGGGGUAAUGGCUCACCUAGGCGACGAGCCCUAGCUGGUCUGAGAGGAUGACCAGCAACACGGGAACGGAGACACGGUCCAGACUCCUACGGGAGGCAGCAGGGGGGAAUAUUGCACAAUGGGCGCAAGCCUGAUGCAGCCAUGCCGCGUGUGUGAAGAAGGCCUUCGGGUUGUAAAGCACUUUCAGCGAGGAGGCGUUACCCGCAGAAGAAGCACCGGCUAACUCCGUGCCAGCAGCCGCGGUAAUAC